CUCCUGCGCCAACCACUUGGAAGCUGGGGAUGCUAAGAUCGAUCCCAGCGGCAGGCAGCUCCUGCGGGAAAUAGUAUCCUCAAGCCUCCCGAAGCCAGGUGACGUACUAGGAGCUCGGAAAACCUCCCCUCUGCUCCCUCGCGAGGGGAGCUCGGUAAGAAGUCGCCAUCCACGUGCACUAUUGUUUUCCACGGAGGUUUGUAAUUUUUAUCUCGAGCUUUGAUUUCAGUUCCCUCAACCUUGGCCUUUCGGGGAGGGGCUACUGUUGCUGCCGGCCUCCGGGCGCAACGAGAAUUUAAAUACGGAGAGCACCCCGUUUCCUCCUCACCACGGCCGCGCCGUGCCGCACGCGCGCCUCAUCUCCCCGCCGCCGCGGGUCCCGUGACGACCCCACCAACCCAGCAGUCCGCCAGCCCGCGUCGGCCGGCCUCCCCUCCGCGGCUGCGACUCCACCACCCCCUCAGCAGGGUACCAGGCUUUGGCGCCUCCCACGGUCUCCGGACACACCAGGAUCCAGCUAUCCAGCCCCUGCUCUCAUCCUCUGCCCACCCGCGUGGAAGAGGUGCACGGAGAGGAUAGGGCGGCAGAGCCCCGCAGUCAGGAACCUCGGGUUAACACGACCCCAAAAGAUACCUGCUUUACUUCAGAUGUUUGGAUGCAGUACACACACACACACACACCCUCACCUGUUUUUGUUUUGUUUUGUUUUUUGGUUUUUUGCCUAUUCUUUGCCUGACACCAGGAAUGAGAUAGGCAAAUGUGUAUGUGUAAGGAAGCUGAAUGCAUACUUAGUUGAGCGACCCCUGAACUUUUGACAGCAUCCUCUUCCACUUUUGACAGCAUCCUCUUCCACUUUAAGGCGAAAGCACCUAACAUUAGACCAAGCUGUGAAGAAUCAUAGUUAUUUUGUCUUGGUGGGUGCCUAAGAAUUGGAGGAAUCUAACCGGAUAAGAUAGUCCACACCUGUAAGCCCAGCAGCCCUGGGAAGGCCGAGGCAGGAGACUCAGGUCGACUUUGAGGUGGACCUGGAUUACAUGGUGAGUUCAAUCUAGCCUGAAUCACAUACUGAGACCCUGUCAAAGAAAAAAAAAAAAAAACAGGGAAGAAUCAAAUUUAAACUUACUUGACCUUCUGAAGGUAGGCUUGCACUAUUCAGAGUCACUUAGGAAAUACUUUCUUGGGAGUGUGAAAAUAAACUAGAGAUGAUGGAGUAAAAUAAACCACAUGUGCUGUCUUUGGUGGGAUCCAGGUUAGCAGGACAAACCAGCUGCUUUCUGGACAACUGACUAAAUGUUUCAACUUGCUAACAAGUGACAACAAUCUGAUCCUGGUAGAACUAUAACAUUCUAAAAUUUUUUUUGAGGGAGUCUUUUUGAGACACGGUCUCACUAUGCAGUUCAGGCUGGCCUCAACUCGAAACAAUCCUCCUGCCCCAGCCUCCCAGUGCUGUGAUUACAGGCAGGAGCCACCAAACUCGGCUUUUCUUUUUCUUUUUUUCUAAAUAUUUAUUAAAAAGAAAAAACCCGCAAUCCAUUGUACUUACCAUCAGCAAGUGCCCAGCGCCUGAUUCCUUACUGCGUUCUCAAAACGUUGGUUCCAGUCCUGAUUCUGAUAGUUACUACUUUGUGCUACUCAUGUCACCUCUCAAUCUGUAAACAGUUGAGAAUAAAAUGAGAUAAUACGUAGAAACAUGCCCUGAAUGUAUUUAGAGCCUAUCAGACAUUAGCUCGCUGUCUUUUACCUCUUCCCUUCUGAGUUUGAGCUUACCCAGCUGGCCUUCUUGUCUCACCAACUGUGGCCUUCAUUCCUUCUGUAGGGGCAGAUCAGAGGGACAUAAACAAAAACCCAGGGCAAACACAGAUGACUAACUUUGUAGAAUCAUCACAUGCUUAUCUAUGGCUGAUGAUGGUAAGCUCAUUGCAAAUUCUUACCGUGUAGCAUGUACUUAUAUCGUUUAUGACAGUGUUUUUCAGAUUUGCUGAUGCUGACCUUGUCCCCUUCCCAGAAACAAAGACAGAGCCCACACUGAUCUUUUGUCCCUGGAAGUCUGGACACUUCUCACACUCACUGGCAUGCCAAGCAAGAGGCCCUUUGUCUUGCAGCACUGCUCUGCUGCUAAGCCAGCUUCUCUUCUGCCUUCUCUGCAUUUGACACAUGUUAAACAAACUUUUGCUUUGCUCUGCACCAGUCUUGACCUGCAUCUCUUACUACAAAUCCCAUUUUCUCCAUUCUUUACCAGAGUAAGGGGAAGGACCAGGAGAGAGGCAGAGGGUCACUCAGAGACCCACACACACACACCAGCAUCUCUUUCUAACAGAUCCAAAUAAUCAGUAGCUAUUUAUUAUGUAUCUACUAUGUUCCAAGACAGUAAGAAACUGCUGAGUCAGCAUUGCAGGAUGGAAAUUUCCAGUUGUGCUCUAUAUGGCUAGUGGUCUUAGCACUUAAUUCAAAUGUUUUAUAAAAUGUCAUUGUUACAGAAUCAUUUGAAACUUGUUAAUGAUGCAGGCAUCAUUAAUGAUGCAGACCCACCUCUACAUACCUCUAUCUUCAAACUUCUACUUCAAGGAAUCUAAGAUAAGAGCCCUGGGUCCUCAUUUUUUAAAUGUCUAUAGAAAUAUAUUUCAGAUAAAUGCAUAAUAUGAAUACAUAGCAUAAAUACUUGAUUGUAUCACUUUUCUUUUUCAGCAGUGGGGAUUGAAACCCAGGGCCUUUGCAAAUCUGCAGCAUUUUUUAUUUUUUAUUUUGAGACAGAGUCUCACUAAAUUACUAAAUUGCCCAGGCUGGGUUUGAACUUGUGGUCUUCCUGCCUCAGUCUCCCAAAUUGUUCACUUCUUUUCUUUUUUUUUUUUUGAGAUUGUUUUCUUUCUUAGUACAUGUUUGCAGCACACAGUGUUCACAUUCCUUGUGUGGAACCUAUAUGUGUACAUAACACAUUUUGAUUCUUCUUUCCCUCUCCUUCUUUCCACCUCUUCUCUCCUUCCACCUCUUGAUCCUCUUCCUCUUUGAGAAAGAUCUAUCUUCCUACUAUCUAUCUUUUAGUUUGCUCUUUAUACUUUUUUUCUAAGAUAAUAAAAAAUGUGACAUUUAGGCUUAUGUAUCUGAUUUAUGGUUUCAAGCUGCAUCCAUUUUUCUUACAAUUACUCAAGUUUAUCUUUAUCCAUUCACGUAUUGAUGGACAUAUGAAAAAACUUCCUUUCUUUCCCUGUGUUAGCAACCUUGUAUGUUUUCUUCAGUAUUCUUACAAUAUUCAUGCAUGCAUAUAUUCUCAUAUUGAGUGGCUUGAUCAUAUUCCCUUUGCUGGGGCAGAAUACCCAACACCUGAAAUUCAGAAAAGGAGAGAUUUAUUUUGGCUCACAAUUUCAGUGGGUUUAGUCCAUGAUCAGCUGGCCGCCAGGCAGAAAUGGUAUGCCAUAGGGGACAACUGCUUAUCCAUGGAAGCCAGGAAGCAGAGCACAAAGGAAGGAGACAGGGACAAGAAUAUACCCUUCCACGUCAGGCACCUGGUGACUUGCUCUUUCUGACCUGGUCCAAUGUUCCUGACAGUGGUAAUGUGCUGACCAUGCCUCAAAAACAUUUAGAAUGAUGCUCAGACAUAGCAUCCCUAGGUGAAUGUGUUCCUUCAUUUACUUUCAUGAAACUGGAAUUACAGGAUGUGAGAGGUAAGACCUAACUUUUCUCACAACUUGAAGAAAGCUGACUUUGGGCAAGCUCAGCAGUGUGUCUUAGAGAUGGAGGAAGUGAACAGUAGGACCAGCAACAGAAUUCACAUCUUUGACUCAGAUUUAAGUGAUGAGUUUGGUUCAUAACGACUUCGAGGGAUCUAAAUGAGCAUGGAAAUGGAUUCUCCUCCAGAGCCUUCAGGAAGGAAAGCCACCUUCCUGAGACUAAAGGAAUAUUUGAUAGCAAUGUGUGUUCUUUUAAACUUCUAAAUAUGUACUAAUUUGUUAAGAUAGCAAGAAAACACUAAGGCAGAGCCUUUGUGGUGUGGAAAA